AUUAUAUCCUUUACCAAAAAUAUCCAUCAUCUAUGUCUUCCAAUAAAGGCUUAAGACGCAAUCUGCGAGUUCAGGCCUCGAGAUAUAAAAUUUGUAAGGGUAAAAUGCAUCACCAUUCUCAUAAUGGUGAAGUUGUUUUGGACCUUGACCGAAGAAUUCAACUUCUUCAAAUGGUUCACAGUGGAUGUGAUACUAAUGUGUCAGCAAUAUCUCUUGCUGCCCAUUUUGGUAUCACCAAGACUUACAGCAAAUUGGCUGGUAGUGAAACAAUUUUAGAUUGUAACAGAAGAGUUUAACUUCUUUAAAAAGUUAUAGUGGAGUGGAUGUGAUACUAAUGAGGCAAAAUCUUUAGCUGAUUAUUUUGGUAUCACCAAGACUCACAGCAACUUGACUAGUAGCUUCUGGUGGCCUAAUAUGAAAUUGAAUGUGGUUAAUUUUGUAAAAUGUUGUGAU